ACGGGAGGCAGCAGUGGGGAAUAUUGCACAAUGGGGGAAACCCUGAUGCAGCGAUGCCGCGUGGAGGAAGAAGGUUUUCGGAUUGUAAACUCCUGUCUUAAAGGACGAUAAUGACGGUACUUUAGGAGGAAGCUCCGGCUAACUACGUGCCAGCAGCCGCGGUAAUACGUAGGGAGCGAGCGUUGUCCGGAAUUACUGGGUGUAAAGGGAGCGUAGGCGGGACUGCAAGUCAGAUGUGAAAUGCCGGGGCUUAACCCCGGAGCUGCAUUUGAAACUGUGGUUCUUGAGUGAAGUAGAGGCAAGCGGAAUUCCUGGUGUAGCGGUGAAAUGCGUAGAUAUCAGGAGGAACACCGGUGGCGAAGGCGGCUUGCUGGGCUUUUACUGACGCUGAGGCUCGAAAGCGUGGGUAGCAAACAGGAUUAGAUACCCUGGUA
rnacentral:rRNA from 1 species